GUCUACAGACAUACCACCCUGAAUGCACCUGAUCUCAUCUGAUCUCAGAAGUUAAGCAGGGUCGGGCCUGGUUAGUACUUGGAUGGGAGAAGUAAAUGAAAGCAUGAGGAUAAUGAUGGCU
ensembl:rRNA 5S_rRNA 5S ribosomal RNA